rnacentral:misc_RNA from 1 species
AACGCACCUUGCGCCCCUUGGUAUUCCGAGGGGCAUGCCUGUUUGAGUGUCUUGAAAUCAUCAAACCUAACCGGUCUUUGUUGGCCGGCGCGGUUUGGACUUGGGGGUUUCCUUGCUGCCGCUCGCGGUGGCUCCCCUUAAAUUCAUCGGUCGGGCUUUCGUGCGGCUCUGUCCCUUGGCGUUGUAUUACCCUCGUCGCUGGAUGGCUCGCGAUACUGCGCCCUUCUUUGACCUGCCUCUGGAGCGGCGGUCUUCAACUUUUGUGAUCUGACCUCAAAUCAGGUAGGACUACCCGCUGAACUUAA